AACGAACGCUGGCGGCAGGCCUAACACAUGCAAGUCGAGCGGACCUUUCGGGGUCAGCGGCGGACGGGUGAGUAACGCGUGGGAAUAUGCCCUUCUCUACGGAAUAGUCCUGGGAAACUGGGGGUAAUACCGUAUACGCCCUUUGGGGGAAAGAUUUAUCGGGGAAGGAUUAGCCCGCGUCGGAUUAGGUAGUUGGUGGGGUAAUGGCCUACCAAGCCGACGAUCCAUAGCUGGUUUGAGAGGAUGAUCAGCCACACUGGGACUGAGACACGGCCCAGACUCCUACGGGAGGCAGCAGUGGGGAAUCUUAGACAAUGGGGGCAACCCUGAUCUAGCCAUGCCGCGUGAGUGAUGAAGGCCUUAGGGUUGUAAAGCUCUUUCAGCUGGGAAGAUAAUGACGGUACCAGCAGAAGAAGCCCCGGCUAACUCCGUG
rnacentral:rRNA from 1 species